rnacentral:rRNA from 1 species
ACGUGUAGCAGUGAAAUGCGUAGAGAUGUGGAGGAACACCGAUGGCGAAGGCAGCCCCCUGGGAUAACACUGACGCUCAUGCACGAAAGCGUGGAGAGCAAACAGGAUUAGAUACCCUGGUAGUCCACGCCCUAAACGAUGUCAACUGGUUGUUGGAAGGGUAACCUUUUAGUAACGAAGCCAACGCGUGAAGUUGACCGCCUGGUGAGUACGGUCGCAAGAUUAAAACUCAAAGGAAUUGACGGGUACCCGCACAAGCGGUGGAUGAUGUGGUUUAAUUCGAUGCAACGCGAAAAACCUUACCUACACUUGACAUGCCAGAAAUCCUGCAGAGAUGUGGGAGUGCCGCAAGGAAUCUGGGCACAGGUGCUGCAUGGCUGUCGUCAGCUCGUGUCGUGAGAUGUUGGGUUAAGUCCCGCAACGAGCGCAACCCUUGUCACUAGUUGCUACAUUUAGUUGGGCACUCUAGUGAGACUGCCGGUGACAAACCGGAGGAAGGUGGGGAUGACGUCAAGUCCUCAUGGCCCUUAUGUGUAGGGCUACACACGUCAUACAAUGGUCGGUACAGAGGGUUGCCAACCCGCGAGGGGGAGCUAAUCUCACAAAGCCGAUCGUAGUCCGGAUCGCAGUCUGCAACUCGACUGCAUGAAGUCGGAAUCGCUAGUAAUCGUGGAUCAGCAUGUCUCGGUGAAUACGUUCCCGGGUCUUGUACACACCGCCCGUCACACCAUGGGAGUGGAAUCCGCCAGAAGUAGUUAGCCUAACCGCAAGGAGGGCGAUUACCACGGUAGGUUUCAUGACUGGGGUG